rnacentral:rRNA from 1 species
UGGGGAAUUUUGGACAAUGGGCGAAAGCCUGAUCCAGCAAUGCCGCGUGUGUGAAGAAGGCCUUCGGGUUGUAAAGCACUUUUGUCCGGAAAGAAAUCCUUGGCUCUAAUACAGUCGGGGGAUGACGGUACCGGAAGAAUAAGCACCGGCUAACUACGUGCCAGCAGCCGCGGUAAUACGUAGGGUGCAAGCGUUAAUCGGAAUUACUGGGCGUAAAGCGUGCGCAGGCGGUUUGCUAAGACCGAUGUGAAAUCCCCGGGCUCAACCUGGGAACUGCAUUGGUGACUGGCAGGCUAGAGUAUGGCAGAGGGGGGUAGAAUUCCACGUGUAGCAGUGAAAUGCGUAGAGAUGUGGAGGAAUACCGAUGGCGAAGGCAGCCCCCUGGGCCAAUACUGACGCUCAUGCACGAAAGCGUGGGGAGCAAACAGGAUUAGAUACCCUGGUAGUCCACGCCCUAAACGAUGUCAACUAGUUNUUGGGGAUUCAUUUCCUUAGUAACGUAGCUAACGCGUGAAGUUGACCGCCUGGGGAGUACGGUCGCAAGAUUAAAACUCAAAGGAAUUGACGGGGUCAUAGCUGUUCCU